rnacentral:rRNA from 2 species
CAGCCGCCGCGGUAAAACCAGCACCUCAAGUGGCCAGGAUGAUUAUUGGGCCUAAAGCAUCCGUAGCCGGCUCUGUAAGUUUUCGGUUAAAUCUGUACGCUCAACGUACAGGCUGCCGGGAAUACUGCAGAGCUAGGGAGUGGGAGAGGUAGACGGUACUCGAUAGGAAGGGGUAAAAUCCUUUGAUCUAUUGAUGACCACCUGUGGCGAAGGCGGUCUACCAGAACACGUCCGACGGUGAGGGAUGAAAGCUGGGGGAGCAAACCGGAUUAGAUACCCGGGUAGUCCCAGCUGUAAACUAUGCAAACUCAGUGAUGCAUUGGCUUGUGGCCAAUGCAGUGCUGCAGGGAAGCCGUUAAGUUUGCCGCCUGGGAAGUACGUACGCAAGUAUGAAACUUAAAGGAAUUGGCGGGGGAGCAC